rnacentral:rRNA from 1 species
UACGUAGGGUGCGAGCGUUGUCCGGAAUUAUUGGGCGUAAAGAGCUCAUAGGCGGUCUGUCGCGUCGAUCGUGAAAACUUGGGGCUUAACCCUGAGCUUGCGGUCGAUACGGGCAUGACUGGAGUUCGGCAGGGGAGACUGGAAUUCCUGGUGUAGCGGUGAAAUGCGCAGAUAUCAGGAGGAACACCGGUGGCGAAGGCGGGUCUCUGGGCCGAUACUGACGCUGAGGAGCGAAAGCGUGGGGAGCGAACAGG